GAUGAAGAACGUAGCGAAAUGCGAUAAGUAAUGUGAAUUGCAGAAUUCAGUGAAUCAUCGAAUCUUUGAACGCACAUUGCGCCCGUUGGUAUUCCGAGGGGCAUGCCUGUUCGAGCGUCAUUAUAACCCCUCAAGCUCAGCUUGGUGUUGGGGCCUGCUGCACUGGCAGCCCUUAAAAUCAGUGGCGGCGCCAUCUGGCUCUAAGCGUAGUAAUUCUUCUCGCUAUGGAGUCCUGGUGGAUGCUUGCCAUCAACCCCCAAUUUUUCUAUGGUUGACCUCGGAUCAGGUAGGGAUACCCGCUGAACUUAAGCAUAUCAAUAAGCGGAGGA
rnacentral:misc_RNA from 1 species